UUUCUAUUUUUAGAUAUAUAUAUAUAUACAUAUAAUAACAAAUAUAAUUUCUUUUGGCAAAUAACAAAGUUAUUUACCAAUCCCAUCAAUAAUAAAAAAUUAUUUUAUUUAUAAUUAUUAAUUUUAUUGUUGCGAAUUGAGAUGAAAAAAUAUAAUUUAGUCAGUGCUUUUAAAUUCUAAAAUUCAACUCACUUAUAUUUGUAAGAUUAUCUAAAUAUAUUACUUUUCUUUAUACAAAAUUUUCAACUUUUAAAAGUUCAGAGAUUUUGAAUUUGGAGCACAA
rnacentral:misc_RNA from 1 species